UACGAAGGGGGCUAGCGUUGCUCGGAAUCACUGGGCGUAAAGGGUGCGUAGGCGGGUCUUUAAGUCAGGGGUGAAAUCCUGGAGCUCAACUCCAGAACUGCCUUUGAUACUGAGGAUCUUGAGUUCGGGAGAGGUGAGUGGAACUGCGAGUGUAGAGGUGAAAUUCGUAGAUAUUCGCAAGAACACCAGUGGCGAAGGCGGCUUACUGGUCCGGUUCUGACGCUGAGGCACGAAAGCGUGGGGAGCAAACAGG
rnacentral:rRNA from 1 species